rnacentral:rRNA from 1 species
AUUGAACGCUGGCGGCAUGCCUUACACAUGCAAGUCGAACGGCAGCACGGGAGCAAUCCUGGUGGCUAGUGGCGAACGGGUGAGUAAUAUAUCGGAACGUGCCCAGUCGUGGGGGAUAACGUAGCGAAAGCUACGCUAAUACCGCAUACGAUCUAUGGAUGAAAGCGGGGGAUCGCAAGACCUCGCGCGAUUGGAGCGGCCGAUAUCAGAUUAGGUAGUUGGUGAGGUAAAGGCUCACCAAGCCGACGAUCUGUAGCUGGUCUGAGAGGACGACCAGCCACACUGGGACUGAGACACGGCCCAGACUCCUACGGGAGGCAGCAGUGGGGAAUAUUGGGACAAAUGGGCGAAAGCCUGAUCCAGCCAUGCCGCGUGUGUGAAGAAGGUCUUCGGAUUGUAAAGCACUUUAAGUUGGGAGGAAGGGUAGUAACCGUAAUACGUUGCGUACUUUGACGUUACGACAGAAUAAGCACCGGCUAACUUCGUG